UAGUCCACGCUGUAAACGAUGUCUACUAGCUGUUGGGUUCCUUGAGGACUUAGUGGCGCAGCUAACGCGAUAAGUAGACCGCCUGGGGAGUACGUUCGCAAGAAUGAAACUCAAAGGAAUUGACGGGGGUCCGCACAAGCGGUGGAGUCAUUGUGGUUUAAUUCGAUGAUACGCGAGGAACCUUACCUGGGCUCUAAUGUGACUGCUAUCUGGUGAAAGCCGGAGUUCCUUCGGGACAGGAAACAAGGUGCUGCAUGGUUGUCGUCAGCUCGUGCCGUGAGGUGUUGGGUUAAGUCCCGCAACGAGCGCAACCCCUAUUGUUAGUUGCCAACACGUAAUGGUGGGGACUCUAGCAAGACUGCCGGCGUAAGCCGAGAGGAAGGUGGGGAUGACGUCAAAUCAUCAUGGCCUUUAUGCCCAGGGCGACACACGUGCUACAAUGGUGCAUACAGAGGGUUGCCAAGCCGCGAGGUGGAGCUAAUCCCAGAAAGUGCAUCCCAGUUCGG
rnacentral:rRNA from 1 species